GACGAACGCUGGCGGCGUGCUUAACACAUGCAAGUCGAACGGUGAAGGGAUCAGCUUGCUGGUUCUGGAUGAGUGGCGAACGGGUGAGUAACACGUGAGUAACCUGCCCCCUUCUUCUGGAUAACCGCAUGAAAGUGUGGCUAAUACGGGAUAUUCUGGGUCUGUCGCAUGAUGGGUCUGGGAAAGAUAUUGUUUCGGUGGGGGAUGGGCUCGCGGCCUAUCAGCUUGUUGGUGGGGUGAUGGCCUACCAAGGCGGUGACGGGUAGCCGGCCUGAGAGGGUGGACGGUCACACUGGGACUGAGACACGGCCCAGACUCCUACGGGAGGCAGCAGUGGGGAAGAGUGCACAAUGGGCGCAAGCCUGAUGCAGCGACGCCGCGUGAGGGAUGGAGGCCUUCGGGGUGUAAACCUCUUUCGCCAGUGAAGCAGGCCUGCUCCUUGUGGGUGGGUUGACGGUAGCUGGAGAAGAAGCGCCGGCUAACUACGUG
rnacentral:rRNA from 1 species